UAAUACGGAGGGUGCAAGCGUUAUCCGGAUUUAUUGGGUUUAAAGGGUGCGCAGGCGGAAUAUUAAGUCAGUGGUGAAAUCCUACAGCUCAACUGUAGAACUGCCAUUGAUACUGAUAUUCUUGAGUAUAGUUGUAGUGGGCGGAAUAUGUCAUGUAGCGGUGAAAUGCUUAGAUAUGACAUAGAACACCGAUCGCGAAGGCAGCUCACUAAACUAUAACUGACGCUCAGGCACGAAAGCGUGGGGAGCAAACAGGAUUAGAUACCCUGGUAGUCCACGCCGUAAACGAUGAUAACUCGAUGUUGGCAAUACACCGUCAGCGUCCAAGCGAAAGCGUUAAGUUAUCCACCUGGGGAGUACGAUCGCAAGGUUG
rnacentral:rRNA from 1 species